rfam:Gossypium raimondii chromosome 4, whole genome shotgun sequence.
AACCCAUGAUGAAGGCACCUUCUCAAAAGAUCCUUAAAUCUCUCUGAUACAUCAUACAGUGUCUCAAGCUCAAGUUGAGCAAAAGAAGAGAUGUCAUUCCUUAACUU